rnacentral:sRNA from 18 species
CUUUAAAAAUCUGGAUCAAGCUGAAAAUUGAAACGACACACAGUUAAUGUGUGUUCGAGUCUCUCAAAUUUUCGCAACCAGAAGUGAAACAUCUUCGG